UACGGAGGUGGCAAGCGUUGUUCGGAAUUACUGGGCGUAAAGGGCGCGUAGGCGGCUUGGCAAGUCAGAUGUGAAAGCCCCGGGCUUAACUUGGGAAUUGCAUCUGAAACUGCUUUGCUUGAGUCCUGGAGGGGGUAGUGGAAUUCCCAGUGUAGCGGUGAAAUGCGUAGAUAUUGGGAGGAACACCUGCGGCGAAGGCGGCUACCUGGACAGUGACUGACGCUGAGGCGCGAAAGCUAGGGGAGCAAAC
rnacentral:rRNA from 1 species